rnacentral:rRNA from 1 species
UACGUAGGGUGCGAGCGUUAAUCGGAAUUACUGGGCGUAAAGCGUGCGCAGGCGGUUUUGUAAGCCGGAUGUGAAAUCCCCGGGCUUAACCUGGGAAUGGCAUUCGGGACUGCAAGGCUGGAGUGCGGCAGAGGAGACUGGAAUUCCUGGUGUAGCAGUGAAAUGCGUAGAUAUCAGGAGGAACACCGAUGGCGAAGGCAGGUCUCUGGGCUGACACUGACGCUCAUGCACGAAAGCGUGGG